GGGUUGUGAGGUUAAGCGACUAAGCGUACACGGUGGAUGCCCUGGCAGUCAGAGGCGAUGAAGGACGUGCUAAUCUGCGAUAAGCGUCGGUAAGGUGAUAUGAACCGUUAUAACCGGCGAUUUCCGAAUGGGGAAACCCAGUGUGUUUCGACACACUAUCAUUAACUGAAUCCAUAGGUUAAUGAGGCGAACCGGGGGAACUGAAACAUCUAAGUACCCCGAGGAAAAGAAAUCAACCGAGAUUCCCCCAGUAGCGGCGAGCGAACGGGGAGCAGCCCAGAGCCUGAAUCAGUGUGUGUGUUAGUGGAAGCGUCUGGAAAGGCGCGCGAUACAGGGUGACAGCCCCGUACACAAAAAUGCACAUGCUGUGAGCUCGAUGAGUAGGGCGGGACACGUGGUAUCCUGUCUGAAUAUGGGGGGACCAUCCUCCAAGGCUAAAUACUCCUGACUGACCGAUAGUGAACCAGUACCGUGAGGGAAAGGCGAAAAGAACCCCGGCGAGGGGAGUGAAAAAGAACCUGAAACCGUGUACGUACAAGCAGUGGGAGCACGCUUAGGCGUGUGACUGCGUACCUUUUGUAUAAUGGGUCAGCGACUUAUAUUCUGUAGCAAGGUUAACCGAAUAGGGGAGCCGAAGGGAAACCGAGUCUUAACUGGGCGUUAAGUUGCAGGGUAUAGACCCGAAACCCGGUGAUCUAGCCAUGGGCAGGUUGAAGGUUGGGUAACACUAACUGGAGGACCGAACCGACUAAUGUUGAAAAAUUAGCGGAUGACUUGUGGCUGGGGGUGAAAGGCCAAUCAAACCGGGAGAUAGCUGGUUCUCCCCGAAAGCUAUUUAGGUAGCGCCUCGUGAAUUCAUCUCCGGGGGUAGAGCACUGUUUCGGCAAGGGGGUCAUCCCGACUUACCAACCCGAUGCAAACUGCGAAUACCGGAGAAUGUUAUCACGGGAGACACACGGCGGGUGCUAACGUCCGUCGUGAAGAGGGAAACAACCCAGACCGCCAGCUAAGGUCCCAAAGUCAUGGUUAAGUGGGAAACGAUGUGGGAAGGCCCAGACAGCCAGGAUGUUGGCUUAGAAGCAGCCAUCAUUUAAAGAAAGCGUAAUAGCUCACUGGUCGAGUCGGCCUGCGCGGAAGAUGUAACGGGGCUAAACCAUGCACCGAAGCUGCGGCAGCGACACUAUGUGUUGUUGGGUAGGGGAGCGUUCUGUAAGCCUGCGAAGGUGUGCUGUGAGGCAUGCUGGAGGUAUCAGAAGUGCGAAUGCUGACAUAAGUAACGAUAAAGCGGGUGAAAAGCCCGCUCGCCGGAAGACCAAGGGUUCCUGUCCAACGUUAAUCGGGGCAGGGUGAGUCGACCCCUAAGGCGAGGCCGAAAGGCGUAGUCGAUGGGAAACAGGUUAAUAUUCCUGUACUUGGUGUUACUGCGAAGGGGGGACGGAGAAGGCUAUGUUGGCCGGGCGACGGUUGUCCCGGUUUAAGCGUGUAGGCUGGUUUUCCAGGCAAAUCCGGAAAAUCAAGGCUGAGGCGUGAUGACGAGGCACUACGGUGCUGAAGCAACAAAUGCCCUGCUUCCAGGAAAAGCCUCUAAGCAUCAGGUAACAUCAAAUCGUACCCCAAACCGACACAGGUGGUCAGGUAGAGAAUACCAAGGCGCUUGAGAGAACUCGGGUGAAGGAACUAGGCAAAAUGGUGCCGUAACUUCGGGAGAAGGCACGCUGAUAUGUAGGUGAAGCGACUUGCUCGUGGAGCUGAAAUCAGUCGAAGAUACCAGCUGGCUGCAACUGUUUAUUAAAAACACAGCACUGUGCAAACACGAAAGUGGACGUAUACGGUGUGACGCCUGCCCGGUGCCGGAAGGUUAAUUGAUGGGGUCAGCGCAAGCGAAGCUCUUGAUCGAAGCCCCGGUAAACGGCGGCCGUAACUAUAACGGUCCUAAGGUAGCGAAAUUCCUUGUCGGGUAAGUUCCGACCUGCACGAAUGGCGUAAUGAUGGCCAGGCUGUCUCCACCCGAGACUCAGUGAAAUUGAACUCGCUGUGAAGAUGCAGUGUACCCGCGGCAAGACGGAAAGACCCCGUGAACCUUUACUAUAGCUUGACACUGAACAUUGAGCCUUGAUGUGUAGGAUAGGUGGGAGGCUUUGAAGUGUGGACGCCAGUCUGCAUGGAGCCGACCUUGAAAUACCACCCUUUAAUGUUUGAUGUUCUAACGUGGACCCGUAAUCCGGGUUGCGGACAGUGUCUGGUGGGUAGUUUGACUGGGGCGGUCUCCUCCUAAAGAGUAACGGAGGAGCACGAAGGUUGGCUAAUCCUGGUCGGACAUCAGGAGGUUAGUGCAAUGGCAUAAGCCAGCUUGACUGCGAGCGUGACGGCGCGAGCAGGUGCGAAAGCAGGUCAUAGUGAUCCGGUGGUUCUGAAUGGAAGGGCCAUCGCUCAACGGAUAAAAGGUACUCCGGGGAUAACAGGCUGAUACCGCCCAAGAGUUCAUAUCGACGGCGGUGUUUGGCACCUCGAUGUCGGCUCAUCACAUCCUGGGGCUGAAGUAGGUCCCAAGGGUAUGGCUGUUCGCCAUUUAAAGUGGUACGCGAGCUGGGUUUAGAACGUCGUGAGACAGUUCGGUCCCUAUCUGCCGUGGGCGCUGGAGAACUGAGGGGGGCUGCUCCUAGUACGAGAGGACCGGAGUGGACGCAUCACUGGUGUUCGGGUUGUCAUGCCAAUGGCACUGCCCGGUAGCUAAAUGCGGAAGAGAUAAGUGCUGAAAGCAUCUAAGCACGAAACUUGCCCCGAGAUGAGUUCUCCCUGACUCCUUGAGAGUCCUGAAGGAACGUUGAAGACGACGACGUUGAUAGGCCGGGUGUGUAAGCGCAGCGAUGCGUUGAGCUAACCGGUACUAAUGAACCGUGAGGCUUAACCUUACAACGCCGAAG
rnacentral:rRNA from 1 species